UUAUAGGCAUGGGCCACCAUGCCUGGCUCAUUCAGGUUUCUUACAUGAGAAUCACAGGGGCAGGGGACAUUCGUUUUGGGGCCCACCCCGGAUGCCUCUUGUCUGGGAAGCCCGGGGCCCCGAGUGCUUGAGUGCAGACCUGGGUGGGGCCUCGUAGGAUAAUCUGGAGCCAUCCUGGGAGGGCCAGGUUGCAGCCCUUCUGCUGAGUGCCCCCUCCGGGUCUGGGCUUGGGUUCCUGGGGCCUCUCAGGAGACCCACUGAGGCCCAGUGAGGAGAGGCCCAGGAGGGUAGUGAGAGGAGGGCGGGGUUCCACUUGGAACUGUUCUGUCCAGAGGUCGCCUUCUCUCCAGCUCCUGGUAGUGUGGGGAGCCCUAGAGGGGUGAACCCCAGGACAAGUGCAUUGCAGACUCGGCCACCCAGGCUCUGACCAGGGGAGCUCUGCCAGGGUGGGUGAGCACCACCAGGCAGGGCCGUGAAGGUGGGUACAGACAGUCUGGCCUGGGGCUGCCAGCGACUCUGCGAUGUUCUUCUGCAGUUGUGUGUCCCUGGAGACCAGCUAGUGACAAUGGUACCCUCCCUAAAGGAGCCAGAGAGAGAUGUGCUGCUCAGCACCACCUUUCCUGCCCUCCACACUGUGUCAGGGAGGUAGACAGCUGCUGGCCUCUCACCCCAGCUCCUUCGCCCCUUGGGCACACCACUUACACACCAUUUCUUGUCUAAGGAAAGGUCUGGGUGUCUGGUGACACCCAGACAGAGGCAGGUGGGUGGCGCUCAGAAGACCAGCUGGGGCGCCGGCUGCAGACACAUUACUUUUGGCGGAAUACAAGGAAGUGAUUCUACUCUGAUUUCGGCGACUCCCUCUGUGUUUCAUCCCAGAGUGAAUCCCCAGCCUGGGAUCAUCAGGGGAGUUAAGUAGCCACUCAAGCACAUGGCCCUUGUUGGAGGGCUGGAUCUUGCAGGCAUGGGGAGGAGACCAUGUGUGAUGGUGAUCAGUUGCUGUGAAGUGGACAGAGCAUACUUUUGGAAGUCCUUUUCUAUUGUGUAGCUGGGCAGUGACAGUGCCUGCUCCCGUGCGACUGCACACACUCACGUGCAUCUGGAGGUUGAUCAGCUGGAGCCUUGACACGGACGUGCAUGCUUGUCUGCUCUUCACCUGGACUGUAGCAGUCAGGUUUCAGUCAAGGGCUGCAUUGUUUUGGAUCAUUCUUCAGGACAGGAGCCUGAGGUUGGCCCUGUUGUUGCCCAGGGCCCUCUGGGAGAAGACAGCCCAUUUCUUCCUAUCCGGGAUGCUUUUGAUGACAUCGGAGCCACCUGGGCGAGCAGGAGACUCCAGGCUCUGGAGCUGUGGCUUACCCCCACCUGCUGAGUCCAUCCUGCCCCUCCCACACAUGGGGACACAGCCCAGGUGCAGGAGGAAAGGCCCUCGCUGGGGCAGGAGCCUCGGCCGUGCCCAGAAAGCCAAUGGGAAUCUCCGUUUCGUGGUUUCCAGAUAAGACUCGAGGCUUUGCCUCCACGCUGCCACUCACAUGCUUUCCCGGGCUGACGCAGAUUAGAAGAAGGGAUCGAUCUGUCCCUUCCCAGAGCACCAGUGUCCAGGGAGAGGCCACCUGUCGCCAUCACCAGCGCCUGCCGCGGGAGGCUGUGCACCCACAGGGUCUGGAGGGGCUGGCCGCUCCCUGAGGAAAGGGCAGCUGUGUGGAGCCUUCUUCUGCCCUCUUGCUGGGCCAGAGUUGCUUCUUAAGGAGGGACGGAGACUUAGGACAGGCAUGCUCGGUCCCUCAUCUGAAAAGCCUCUGGGGAGGAAGUGUGUGCUGGACACUGGCCGGCAGUGCCCCGUCUCUCCAGGUGAGUGUGGUGCUGACAGCAAGUGCUGGACUUUGGCCACUCCCUCAGAAACUGCCUUUCAAAUGAGGUUUCUUCAGGCGCCCCUCGAUGCCGCUGACAUCCAGGAUCCUUCAGGCGCCAGCUCCCCUGAACCUCAGGGGUGUGUCUGUGGGGUGGAAGAAGUGGCAGGCACCCAAGAGCCUGAGUCCCUGA